ensembl:misc_RNA Metazoa_SRP Metazoan signal recognition particle RNA
GCCGGGUGUGGUGGCGCACGCCUGUAAUCCCAGCUACUUGGGAGGCUGAGGUGGAAGAAUUGCUUGAACCUGGGAGGCAGAGCUUGCAGUGAGCCAACACUGCACUGCUGCACUCCAGCCUGGGUGACAGAGUGAGACUCUGUCUCAA